AGAGGGAGAGAUUGUGCUGGAGAGUUCAAAGAGUAGAAGAGAGGAAAGAAAAGAACACCAACAGGAGGAAAAGAAGAACUUAGGUAGAAGAGUGCCUUGAGUUCUCAUAAUUCAACAAGUAAGGUUACGAGUCAAGGACUGCUUGACCAACCGUUCUGAAAGCCCACUGUGACAUGUCAGGACCAGAGUGUGGAGUAGACACCAAGCACUUUUAUUAAUGUAUUUUUUUGUAAAUAUCGGCCUUUUUGGUCAAUACAUUUUGUAAUAAAAAUAGAAGCUCCAAUGAUUAUUUUA